UGAGAGGCAAGUGAUACUGUGAAGUCUCCUGUCCACACCAGGUACAGCACAGGCAAUUGCAGUGCAAGAGUCUCCAUAUUAGCCCAACAAUGUGCCCCGGUCCUAAACUGAAAGAAGAAAGAGGCCAGUGCACCUGUCAUUGGUAACUUGACCCUCAAUUUU
rnacentral:sRNA from 1 species